rnacentral:misc_RNA from 1 species
GAAAUGCGAUAAGUAAUGUGAAUUGCAGAAUUCAGUGAAUCAUCGAAUCUUUGAAACGCACCUUGCGCUCCUUGGUAUUCCUUGGAGCAUGCCUGUUUGAGUAUCAUGAAAUCUUCAAAGUAAAUCUUUUGUUAACUCAAUUGGUUUCUACUUUGGUAUUGGAGGUCUUUGCAGCUUCACACCUGCUCCUCUUUGUUCAUUAGCUGGAUCUCAGUGUUAUGCUUGGUUCCACUCGGCGUGAUAAGUUAUCUAUCGCUGAGGACACUGUAAAAGGUGGCCAAGGUAAAUGCAGAUGAACCGCUUCUAAUAGUCCAUUGACUUGGACAAUACUUUUAUGAUCUGAUCUCAAAUCAGGUAGGACUACCCGCUGAACUUAAGC